GCAUGCGCCUCGGCUCCGGCGUCCCGUCGAAAAGUGCGAGUGAGUCAGUCGAGAGUAAAAUGGCAGUUGCGGUCGUCUCGCUCAUGUAACGGUUCGGUGGACAAAACGCCUGUGUUUUUCUGUGUUUUACACCAACUCGCCCGUCGCGAACAACGAGUAAAAAGUGUUUCUGUGACCCUGUGAAAGUGUUCAUCUUGGAAUAAAAUCACCGGUCACAUUGAACGAGUGUUUACAGAUCCAGUCUGGAGCAGAAUUCCCGUACGAAGCUCGUGGCGGGGGACGGUGUGAUGUGACAAUAGUUGCACAACGAGUCUGAGGUCGCUCACACGAUCAUCAGAAAAAGGUGUGGGUAUGGAGGGGGGCCGGGACGUGAUGCCACUGCUGGAAGAGCGGGUAGCAGUGGUGACCGGAGGAAGAGACCGGAGAGGCGGCCCACUCCUUACCUUCCCCACGUCCGCCCGGAGGGACCGGCUCAAGCCCGACGACUACCGGAGGCUCAUCCACUACCUCAUCAACAUACCUCCACUGAGAAACCAGUUGUCCAAUGAAAAGUGACAAUCAACUCGAAUCACGUGAAAGAUUGGCUUUCUAACGGGAUUCGGCAAUUUUCGAUUUGUCUUUUAAUAAUCCCGGAGGCGGCCGACAAAUUUCACUGACGAUGUCGUUACAGUCGAACGUAAGAUACUGUUAUAAUAAAAAUCACGAAUAUGUUUAUGUUUCCCCGAUUGUACGCGUUUUUGUUUUAGUAUGUCAUGCUCAGUUGUUGU
rnacentral:misc_RNA from 1 species